UGAGGAUAGAACUGGGUCUCUGGUAUGAGGAAUAGAAAACUGGGUCUCUGGUACUGAGGCUAGAAAUGGGUCUCUGGUACUGAGGAUAGAACUGGGUCUGGUACUGAGGAUAGAACUGGGUCUCUGGUACUGAGACUAGAACUGGGUCUCUGGUACUGAGGCUAGAACUGGGUCUCUGGUACUG
rnacentral:lncRNA from 1 species